GACAGAGGGUGCAAACGUUGUUCGGAAUUACUGGGCGUAAAGCGCGUGUAGGCUGCUUGGAAAGUCGGAUGUGAAAGCCCUGGGCUCAACCUAGGAAGUGCAUUCGAAACUCCCAAGCUUGAGUUUCGGAGAGGAAGGCGGAAUUCUCGGUGUAGAGGUGAAAUUCGUAGAUAUCGGGAGGAACACCAAUGGCGAAGGCAGCUCGCUGGGACGGUACUGACGCUGAGACGCGAAAGCGUGGGGAGCAAACAGG
rnacentral:rRNA from 1 species